GGGGAUCCCAUGGAAACAUGGGGCUGCCAAUGGGGGAGCCCACAAGACAGGUGCGACAUGCCUGUCGUCAGUUCGUUUCGUGAGAUGUUGGGUUAAGUCCCGCAAGGAGCGCAACCCCAGUCUUCAGUAACAAGAGAUUCGGUCGGGGACUCUGAAGAUACUGCCCCGGUUAACGGGGAGGAAGGUGGGGAUGACGUCAAGUCCUCAUGGCCUUUAUGCCCAGGGCUACACACGUGCUACAAUGGGCGGUACAGAGGGUAGCGAGACCGCGAGGUGGAGCCAAUCCCAAAAAGCAGUCCUCAGUUCGGAUUGGAGUCUGCAACUCGACUCCAUGAAGUUGGAAUCGCUAGUAAUCGCGGAUCAGCAUGCCGCGGUGAAUACGUUCCCGGGCCUUGUACACACCGCCCGUCACACCAUGAGAGUUGGCUAUACCAGAAGUCGCCGGCCCAACCUGUAUGGGGGGAGGCGCCGAAGUAUGCUGACGAUUGGGUGAGUCGUAACAAG
rnacentral:rRNA from 1 species